CAACAGAACUGCAGAGUCUCGUAGAGUCAGGCUGCGCUCCUCCACCAAACCUUGUAAUCUUAUCUACUAAAAUUUAUAACAUCAGCGUCACGAUAAUUUCGGAGAACUCCUAAAAUAAGGGAAAAGGAGAGGUUAGGUAAAAACUGAGGAACUUAUAAUAAUUAGCUAUUUUCAUGGUUUUACACGAAACAGAAGAGUUCAGGUAAGAACCUAAGACCUUAAGCCAACACCUUAACAUAAAGAAAACCUACAACAGGCCUUCAGACUGCACUCUUCUACAAAACACUGUGGGUACUAAUUUUACUAUAUACAUUGAAAUUUGUAACAUCAGCAUCUGGGUAACUUGUUAAACUUCUAAAAUAAAGUUACUAGAGGUAGGAUGUCGACAACAGGGAUACAAGAAGAAACAGGCAACGUUAGGUGUUUCUAAAGGGGAGAGAGGAUUAAAAGGAGCACCAUUGAACACUUGAGAAACAGAACACUAAGCAAGGAAAAUAAGCUGUUUUUGAAGGUGAAAGAACUAUAUGAACACAAGCUAUAUCUGACUGGGAGAGAAGUCUACAGGGAUUGUUACGGAAGAAAGAGAAUAGGUGAAGAAACAGUCUACAGGGGAUGUUACGGAAGAAAGAAUAGGUGAAGAGAAACAACUAGCUUCUGAAGGGGACCGAAGUCUACAUAAGUUGCUGUUCCUGUAGAAGAGACUAGUCGAAGAAGAAACUACUAGUUUGCGGAAGGGAUUGAAGUCUACAAAAUGUUUUAAUGAAGAGAAUUGUCUAAGAAACGCAACUAGUUUGUGAAGCUCCUGUAUUAGAGAAGUUAAAGAAAAGAUAACGAGUAGUUCUUGAUGGAGAUGGCUAUAUAAUUGCUGCUGUGCCAGAACAGAAUAGUCGAAGAAGAGAAGUUACCAUAAAUGCUGCUGAGCCAGAAGAGAAUAAUUGAAGAAGAAAUACACGAAUAGUUCCUGUAGUGGACAGGGAUCAAAUAUCAAAUACAUUAGCUAUUAAUUCUGAGCAGAAUAGUAAAAACACAGUUCCUGUAGAAAAAGAUCUAGAUCUCGAAGGGGAUGGAAUUCUAUAAAUGUUGCCAUUCCUGGAGAAGCCAAGUUUUACUGCUUACUUAAUUAGAGCACCUUUUGGUCUUGCGUAUGUUAAUCGUUCUUCCUGGCUGCUAUCUCUGGGAACGUUUCAUAUAUACUCUGUGACUUAGAACUUUGAUUUACCCCAGGGUGAUUACAGGUGAGUACAGAAAGAAUGAUUUCAGCUUCAUUUUUGCAUAUAUACUCGAAUUAAUAUAUGAUUGUAACCUAAGAUGCAUAUAUAUUCGGUGUCUCGGAAUCUUCUCUUUAACCUGGAGUGUUUACAGAACGAAUGAUUUCCCCUCCAUUUUCAGGAGCAUUACCUAACAGAGCUUGCAUUAUGUAAGUCCAAGAUGAGAUUCUUUGCUGCAUCUGCAGGGCCGUUACCAUAUACGUCGACCAACCUGUCUCUCGAUUUUACAUUUGCAACUAACCAUGAUAAAUUUUGCUAGAUCAUGAAGCUGCAAUGUAUCCAAGAUGAAUUAGCUGCAUCUUCUAAUCGCCUUCAGGAAUGUUGUACAAAGUCU